rnacentral:rRNA from 1 species
GACGAACGCUGGCGGCGUGCCUAAUACAUGCAAGUAGAACGCUGAAGCUUGGUGCUUGCACCGAGCGGAUGAGUUGCGAACGGGUGAGUAACGCGUAGGUAACCUGCCUGGUAGCGGGGGAUAACUAUUGGAAACGAUAGCUAAUACCGCAUAAGAGUAGAUGUUGCAUGACAUUUGCUUAAAAGGUGCAAUUGCAUCACUACCAGAUGGACCCGCGUUGUAUUAGCUAGUUGGUGAGGUAACGGCUCACCAAGGCAACGAUACAUAGCCGACCUGAGAGGGUGAUCGGCCACACUGGGACUGGGACACGGCCCAGACGCCUACGGGAGGCAGCAGUAGGGAAUCUUCGGCAAUGGACGGAAGUCUGACCGAGCAACGCCGCGGGAGUGAAGAAGGUUUUCGGAUCGUAAAGCUCUGUUGUAAGAGAAGAAAGAGUGUGAGAGUGGAAAGUUCACACUGUGACGGUAUCUUACCAGAAAGGGACGGCUAACUACGUG